UGCUCUGUGAUUACCUGCCUGAAAUGGGCAAUAUACGCUAUUCCGAUUAUUACAUGACCGGAGAAACUUCUAGAGAAUGUAUGAGAGUU
rfam:Prunus persica cultivar Lovell chromosome G3, whole genome shotgun sequence.